rnacentral:lncRNA from 1 species
GCAUGUUCUCUUAUUAAUAUGACACAUAUAGUUUCAAAAAUGUUCCACUAAAUUAUAGCCGUUGAAGCCAGUAUGUGCUGAAAGGUGCCUUCAAGUGUUAUGACAUUUCCAAACCAAAAUGAAAAGAAUGAAUAUAAGGUGGUAAAAGUGGUUAAAUAUCACUUUGUGUUGAUGCAAAAAUACAUAAAACUGAUCUGAAUAUAAUUUCCUUUUAGAUAUUACACCACUGCUGACAUGGCAAGUAUGUUUCCACCAUCACCAUUCUGUUUAUAUUGUAUACUGUAAGUUCUUUUUUAUUACUUACAAUAAUCAUAAAUUAAAGACCGUAUCAACUCAUAAAAUGUUGGAUGUGUUUGUGUCAAGGUCCGUGCUCUGCAGUCGUUCUGUCCAAGAAGAAAGUCGAGGAAGUGACUCCUAAAACCAAGACGUCUGGGAAAUCUAAAAGAGAUCCCCAGAAGAGUUCAGAAGUAUCCAGUCGUCGGUCUACCUUGCCUCAAAGGAAAAAUCUGCGCUCCAAAUGUCCGGACUCCAGUAAUUGGAUUAAACUUGAACCUACUGUUGGUGAAGAUAAAACCUACAGCCACCAGUCUGAUGCAGGUCGCUUUGAAUGCAGUGAGUCUGCCCUGCGCUGGGUUUGUAAGGAAAAGGUCAUCUUCAAAUACCAGUUCUGCUCAUGGGACGAACACAUGAAGAGGCCUUCAUGCGUAGAUUACAUGCCAGCAGGACCUCUGCUGGACAUCACACUCACAUCUGGGAAGAUAGAGGAGGUGCAUCUGCCACACUGGAUCUGUGUAGAUCUCAACUCCAAAAUGUCAGACAUGUUUAAAGUUCUACAUGUGGAUACUUGUGGAGAUUUUGUGGAACAAGUUUCAGAAGUCACAUCGUACCACGUCAAGUUGUUCCAGCCAGAUUUCUCUCCGCUAGGAGCCAUGAUCCGGAGGACAUUCGGCCUGCCUGUGAAAGUUUUCUAUGACACAUUGAUAUACAGGACACACAAAGAAUUCCUCACAUUGGAUGU